rnacentral:lncRNA from 1 species
ACAAAGAUAAGAUUUGUCCCUCCUACAGAAUAAGAGCAAUAUCUUGGGCCCCUAAAUGAAUUGAAAUAGAAAUGCAUUGUCAUGCUUAAAUGAGUCGAUAUAAAAUGUAAGACUCAUUUAUAUAUAUCAGGCUAUUCGAGAUUCAAGAAAUAAAAUAUUAGACUAUACAAACGUUACUAUUCUGUGACUUGUUCAAUUUAGAUAUCACAAAUAAAAGGAUGGACUACAUAGUUGCAUUAUCAUGAAAAAUUUAUUUCGGAUUAUGAUUUCCUA